GGCGUAAGCCGACGUAUACGGGCUGAGGCCUGCCCAGUGCCAGAAGGUUAACUGAGAGGAUAACCCCGACUUGUUCGGGCUAGUCUUUGAUUGAAGCCCUGGUGAACGGCAGCAGUAACUAU
rnacentral:rRNA from 1 species